rnacentral:lncRNA from 1 species
AUGAAGGCCUGGGAGGCGGGAAGGUGCCUCCCGGGACCACCGCUCCCAGCUCUUGGUGAACACACCAAUGCUGAAACACCUUGGUCUUUCUCCUCUGUUCUGCAAGAAGCUUCCAACAAGGAGAGGAGAGGAAUGCUUCCCUACCCUCCAACGCACACACACCCCUCUAUAGGGACAGAGCAGCCUUCCCAGAUCACCCAGCCAGCUCAGUGCCACCCCAAAGAAGAAGACCCUGCCUGGGGGAUUUCAACACGUCAACUUCCACCCAACGGGAUUUGGGUCAGACUUGAGGAAGGACUUCCUGAAUGGGCUGACCCUGCCGCCAGGAUUAUAUCACCGAGGAGGAAGACAGGAUGCCCUCCUCCAGAGAUGGUGACGAAUGUGCAACACACUCAGUGUCCAUCAGGAGGCCUAAGGCACAGGCCACUGGUAUGGCUGUUCGGCAUCUGAGUCAGUUCCACAGAAUCGCGCUCCCACCCACACAAAGGUACUUGUACCAGCAUCCUUAUUCAGUGUUACAUGCGAUGAUGAAAAAUCAGACAGCUCAGAUGCCCCCUGAUAAGAGGUUGGUUGAGUUCGAUUGCAUCCACACAGUGGACACCCUGCAGCUCUUAAACAUGAGAUGGCUUUGCAUGCAGAUGAGGAAGGAUGGAAAAACAAGUCGAGGAACUAUUUGUUCUAUUACUAUUUGUUAGUAAAGUCCCAGUUAUGUUGAAAAAAAAUUUUUUUUAAUGCUUAGAAAUUUCUGGAAGGAAGCACACCAACAUUAACCAGUUACCUGAUGAGGGGCUGGGCUUAUGGAGCCCUUUGUAUUCUCUACACUUUUGUAUUGUUUAAGGAAGUUCUAUAUUAUAAGCACGUAGCACUUUUGUAAUUUCUUAAACUAAACAAUUUUUUUUAAUGAACACAAUUUACUGUGUUCAGGGGACGAGGCAGGGCAGGCACCCCAGGAGAGGUCUGCCCCUCUCCGCCCCCCAACUCCCGUCAGCCUCAGCUCCACUGAAUGUCGACGGAGCACCUGCUCCAGCCCGGGCAGGAGGUUUAGAGAAGAGGGAGUCUGGCGCAGCAAGGACCCACGCCACGGGUGUCCCUGUGCAGUGCGACAGGCCGACCACAGGCUGCGACACGUGGGGCCCUCUUAGGGGGGACUGGAGACUGCGUCUCACGGGAGUGUGCAGGGUGGGUAGGGGGCUUCAUAGAGUAUUGGGAAUCCACAGUAAAGAAGGCCUGGAAAGAACCCCAGCUGGGGCAGGGCUUCCACACAUGUGAGCAUGCACACACACACACACACACACACACUACACUCAAACCUACAGCCUCUCAACGCAGCAAACUGAGGCCCACUCAUGCUGACACUCUCAGACCACGUCGUACGCUCUCAGCCCCACCCUCCAAGUUGCUGUCACCUCCUCAAGCCCUGCUCAGACUGUAGUGGGUAAGGUCAGAGGGG